AGAAUCAACGCUGGCGGCGUGCCUAACACAUGCAAGUCGAACGAGAAAGUGGAGCAAUCCAUGAGUAAAGUGGCGACCGGGUGAGUAACACGUGACUAACCUACCCUACAGUGGGGGAUAACUCCGGGAAACCGGGGCUAAUACCGCAUAACAUCGUAAGAUCAAAGGAGCAAUUCGCUGAAGGAGGGGUCGCGGCUGAUUAGUUAGUUGGUGAGGUAACGGCUCGACCAAGACGAAGAUCAGUAGCCGGCCUGAGAGGGGCGCGACGGACCGACACCUGGAACUGAAACACGGUCCAGACUCCUACGGGAGGCAGCAGUGGGGAAUUUGCGCAAUGGGGGAAACCCUGACGCAGCAACGCCGCGUGGAGGAUGAAGUCCCUUGGGAUGUAAACUCCUUUCGAUCGGGACGAUUAUGACGGUACCGGAAGAAGAAGCACCGGCUAACUCUGUGCCAGCAGCCGC
rnacentral:rRNA from 1 species